ACCAGGGCGCCCAGGGUCACCCGGUUCUGCUUGGACAGCUUCCCCCGCACCAGCGUCACGAUGUCGUCGAUCUGCGUGUUGUUCUGCUCCAGGCUGUGUAGGGAGGUCGGACAGGUCUGCUCCUGGCCACGCUCUUGUGCUUCGCCCUGACCUUUUGGCCCUUGGAGAUGGCCUCAUGAAUGUCCUUGGUCCAGUACACCUGCGAGACGCACAGCACCGUCUGUCCCGGCCACGCCCGGACCCAGUUGAUACGCAGGUCCUUGGGCUGUUAUCAGUAACGCUACGGGGAGUUCACAGCUACCAGUAGCCCUGUAAUGACAGUGAGUGCCGACGGAGCCGACCGUGGAGGUGCUACCUUCUGCAGGGACUUCAGCAUGCCGCACUCCAGUUCCAGCAGCCACUUCUCCACCUGGCCGCGGGCCUUGGAGGUGGAGAUGAUGUCCUCCAGCUUCACCACCUCCCCCUCGCUGCUCUUCAUGUGGGUGAUGUCCAGCACAUCGGUGAACUGCACGCUGGCGAUGCCCUCGAAGCACUUCUUCAGGAGGAAGCAUUCCCACACACGGUCCCACAGAGCAGUGACCUACAGAGUUGAGUAAGCAUUAGACACCCACGUGCUCCCAGGCACAACAGCAGCAGCCCAUCAAGGACCUGAACCCAGGAACCCAGACCAGACCCUGAGGCAAUGUACAGUAAUAACACAAGUGGGAGAAUCCUGCACCAAGGAUCUCCAGCAGCUCGUCAUUGGACAGGAAGAAGAAGCGUGGGAAAUAAAGGCGUUUCUUCUCCAGGUACUCGUUCAGGCCCUUCAGAAUCAGCUCCAGGAGCUCGUUGGACUUCUUUAGCUUCUCCAGC